rnacentral:antisense_RNA from 1 species
CCCAUCUGUGCUACUAUAACCACAUGGUCCAUCCCUUGCUUCAAUCAUAGAAUUCUUUCUUCAGAUCAAAGUAUAUUCAGACACCCGAUACAGUAACAAAAGCAAGCUAUCCUGGAAGGAAGAAGGAAUCAGGAGGCAGAGCACAUGGUUAAAGCAUGAGAUGUGAAACCAGGAAGAACCAGGUCUGAAUCUUAGCUCCACCAGUGGUAGCUCCAAACCUUAGUCCUUUCUGAGCCUGCUUCUUCAACCCUAAGGUGUGAUUACAUUGAGCAGUAACAGCAAAACCUGAAAGAGAAUGGAUACAGGUGUUCAUUUCAGAUGGUACAAGUUUAACAAGGUACAAGAGCAACUUAAGGUUUGACAUAAAACCUCUAAGCAUAUAUUUAAAUCCUAGUGUUUCAUCCAGAAAACACCACAGCAUAACUGAGAGCACUGGAGGCAGAAAUAAUUUAGUUUAGAUCCAUGGAUUGCUUGCUAUUUACUGUGUGACUCUGGGUAGCCAUUUACUUUAAACCUAUUUUUCCCACUUAUAGAAAGGUAAUGAUGACCACUUGUUGGAAAACUUGAGGGUAAUAUUUGUAAAGGUCAUAGUAAUACCCAACAACUCGGACCCAACACCUGGUAGGCACAAAGUCAGUUCUGCUUCCUUUCCCUUUCUGUAGAGAAAUGUACAGGAUAUUCCUUAUAUGCCACUUAUGCUAUGGGAUUGACAUAGGUUUUGUCCCUUAUGCUAUGGGAUUGACUAGGUUUU